GAGUUUGAUCCUGGCUCAGAAUCAACGCUGGCGGCGUGCCUCAGACAUGCAAGUCGAACGCGAAAGCUCUCUUCGGAGAGCAAGUAGAGUGGCGCACGGGUGAGUAACACGUGGGUAAUUUACCUUUGGGUGGGGAAUAACAGCCGGAAACGGCUGCUAAUACCGCAUAAUGCAGCGGCAUCUUAAUGAUGACAGUUGUUAAAGCGAGGGAUCGCAAGACCUCGCGCCUAAAGAGAAGCCCGCGGCAGAUUAGCUAGUUGGUGAGGUAAUGGCUCACCAAGGCGACGAUCUGUAGCCGGCCUGAGAGGGCGGUCGGCCACACUGACACUGACAUACGGGUCAGACUCCUACGGGAGGCAGCAGUCGGGAAUUUUGGGCAAUGGGCGCAAGCCUGACCCAGCAACGCCGCGUGAAGGAUGAAGUUUUUCGGAAUGUAAACUUCACAAGAAUGGGAAGAAUAAGUUGAGGUUAAUAGCUUUAACGAUGACGGUACCAUUUGUAAGCUCCGGCUAACUCCGUGCCAGCAGCCGCGGUAAUACGGGGGGAGCAAGCGUUGUUCGGAUUUACUGGGCGUAAAGGGCGCGUAGGCGGCGUGACAAGUCACUUGUGAAAUCUCCGGGCUCAACUCGGAAAGGCCAAGUGAUACUGUCAUGCUAGAGUGCGGAAGGGGCAACUGGAAUUCUCGGUGUAGCGGUGAAAUGCGUAGAUAUCGAGAGGAACACCUGCGGCGAAGGCGGGUUGCUGGGCCGACACUGACGCUGAGGCGCGAAAGCUAGGGGAGCGAACGGGAUUAGAUACCCCGGUAGUCCUAGCCUUAAACGAUGGAUGCUU
rnacentral:rRNA from 1 species